rnacentral:misc_RNA from 1 species
GGGUUUAGUUAGCCUGCUUCCUCUCCUGGAUCCAAUGAGCUAGCAUCAACCUGAGUUGCUUCUGCUGGUCUAUCAUCCGCUUCCCUGGCUGCAUGCCCAUUUAUGGCUAUCUAGUCCCAGGGAAUGGAAGGUGAGAAGCAUUUCAACUACAACUUCUACUAUAUCUCACACUGCAUAGCUUGCUCUCUAACCUUUACUCGUAUUUUAUAACUCCUUCCUUUCGAGAGAGAAAGAAGAGGUAUAUUUUUACCUGCUUGCCUAAGCUUUUUUUUUUCUAGCCCUACGUAAGGCACGUGCCUAAAAAACUAUCUUAAUUUUG